GAGAUAAGGGGGGACUUUACCUAGCAGGGUCUUGUAGAUGACAUAGAGCCAGUGGGAUUGGCGACGAGUAUGAAGCGAGUCUAUCCCAAGUCUAUCACCCCCACACGUAUCCAGGAGAAUUGCCAGGUGUUUGACUUUGUGUUGAGCGACGAGGAAAUGAAGACCAUUCUGGGCUUCAACAGGAACUGGAGAGUCUGCCCAAUGACAGGAGAGAUGUUUAUUCCUGUCAGCGAGACGCACCGAUAAUCCAGAUGGCUUUAACGACUCCGACAGCAUAUCACUAGAGAGCCAUGGAAAGCCACCCUUGCCCUAAUUUCGUCAACUGAACUGGACAUUUGCGAGUAAUAUACUCGGAAGGGGUGGGUGGUGUGCACGCCUCCGAAGUCUGACCAGAAGACCGCUCCGCCUACCUCUUCUCUAGCGG